GACGAACGCUGGCGGCGUGCCUAAUACAUGCAAGUUGAGCGCUGAAGGUUGGUACUUGUACCAACUGGAUGAGCAGCGAACGGGUGAGUAACGCGUGGGGAAUCUGCCUUUGAGCGGGGGACAACAUUUGGAAACGAAUGCUAAUACCGCAUAAAAACUUUAAACACAAGUUUUAAGUUUGAAAGAUGCAAUUGCACCACUCAAAGAUGAUCCCGCGUUGUAUUAGCUAGUUGGUGAGGUAAAGGCUCACCAAGGCGAUGAUACAUAGCCGACCUGAGAGGGUGAUCGGCCACAUUGGGACUGAGACACGGCCCAAACUCCUACGGGAGGCAGCAGUAGGGAAUCUUCGGCAAUGGACGAAAGUCUGACCGAGCAACGCCGCGUGAGUGAAGAAGGGUUUCGGAUCGUAAAACUCUGUUGGUAGAGAAGAACGUUGGUGAGAGUGGAAAGCUCAUCAAGUGACGGUAACUACCCAGAAAGGGACGGCUAACUACGUG
rnacentral:rRNA from 1 species